rnacentral:lncRNA from 1 species
GGCAUGGCAUGGCUUGUAUCUAGGGAGUCAAGCUUUCCUUCUUCACAGGGCACUCUUCUCUACAAGACCAGCUGGUAGCUGUCUUCAUGGCUCUGCUCCCUUUCUGCUGUUCUGGUGUUGACCAGUGCUUUAUUCUCCAGCUGCUUUCUGAUAUCAUGAAGGUAACCAGGAGGGAAGUCUGUAUGAAAUGCUCCUUUCCAAUGGCAGAUUCCCCUGUCUGCACCAUUCCCUGGACAGAACCACUUGGACAAUCAAACCAAGAGCAAGGAUCCUGCAAACAGCACUGCUUUCUCACCAUCUCCUCAUGAACUGAGCAGCCAUCUGAUUCUGCCUGGCUCAUGCAUCUUGAAUUCCUGCAAACUUGUGAGGAGUUUUCCGAGCAUUGAAAAAAUCAAACCAAACCAAACCAAACCACCAAGAAAAGGAGACAGUAAUGAAGAGUAAGCUGAUUUUUUGUCCUGAUGUUCUCCGCCAGGUAAGAUAUACCACUAGGAGCUGGCAAGGCUGUGGGCUGCAUAUAAAAAGAUCAGCAUC